GAACAGUUUUGCUUAUGAUCCACUAAUGAAACUUACUAUGAAUAUGCUUUUCUAUGCUAGAUAUUGUCGGAAGUCAAGGAGUUGAAGCAUACUCAGAUGAAACAAGCUGAGAGGAUGAUUACUUUGGAGAUGGAGCUGCUUGAAACAAGAAGGGAGAUACUUCGGCUAAAAGGGAGCAAUGGAAGUUUUUAAGCACAUGCAUGGUAAGCUCAAAUUAAGAAUAAAUUCUUGGGGUUUGUAAUGCUUCUCUAGCUACUUCUUGUCUUUUGAACAUAUGUGAAGAAGAGAAAAAGGAAUAUGGAAAUGAUUUGACUCCCGAUCGAGUUUGAAAGUUACUCUAAAGGAAUACUCUUUCCUCUUUUAUUGCUAAUCCUUGACUUGGUAUG